UGAUAGCUUGCUAUCAGGCGUCGAGCGGCGGACGGGUGAGUAAUACUUAGGAAUCUACCUAGUAGUGGGGGAUAGCACGGGGAAACUCGUAUUAAUACCGCAUACGACCUACGGGAGAAAGGGGGCAGUUUACUGCUCUCGCUAUUAGAUGAGCCUAAGUCGGAUUAGCUAGAUGGUGGGGUAAAGGCCUACCAUGGCGACGAUCUGUAGCUGGUCUGAGAGGAUGAUCAGCCACACCGGGACUGAGACACGGCCCGGACUCCUACGGGAGGCAGCAGUGGGGAAUAUUGGACAAUGGGGGAAACCCUGAUCCAGCCAUGCCGCGUGUGUGAAGAAGGCCUUUUGGUUGUAAAGCACUUUAAGCAGUGAAGAAGACUCCGUGGUUAAUACCCACGGACGAUGACAUUAGCUGCAGAAUAAGCACCGGCUAACUCUGUGCCAGCAGCCGCGGUAAUACAGAGGGUGCAAGCGUUAAUCGGAAUUACUGGGCGUAAAGGGAGCGUAGGUGGCUCGAUAAGUCAGAUGUGAAAUCCCCGGGCUCAACCUGGGAACUGCAUCUGAUACUGUUGAGCUAGAGUAUGUGAGAGGAAGGUAGAAUUCCAGGUGUAGCGGUGAAAUGCGUAGAGAUCUGGAGGAAUACCGAUGGCGAAGGCAGCCUUCUGGCAUAAUACUGACACUGAGGCUCGAAAGCGUGGGUAGCAAACAGGAUUAGAUACCCUGGUAGUCCACGCCGUAAACGAUGUCUACUAGUCGUUGGGUCCCUUGAGGACUUAGUGACGCAGCUAACGCAAUAAGUAGACCGCCUGGGGAGUACGGCCGCAAGGUUAAAACUCAAAUGAAUUGACGGGGGCCCGCACAAGCGGUGGAGCAUGUGGUUUAAUUCGAUGCAACGCGAAGAACCUUACCUGGUCUUGACAUAUCUAGAAUCCUGCAGAGAUGCGGGAGUGCCUUCGGGAAUUAGAAUACAGGUGCUGCAUGGCUGUCGUCAGCUCGUGUCGUGAGAUGUUGGGUUAAGUCCCGCAACGAGCGCAACCCUUGUCCUUAGUUACCAGCGGGUUAAGCCGGGAACUCUAAGGAUACUGCCAGUGACAAACUGGAGGAAGGCGGGGACGACGUCAAGUCAUCAUGGCCCUUACGACCAGGGCUACACACGUGCUACAAUGGUAGGUACAGAGGGCAGCUACACAGCGAUGUGAUGCGAAUCUCAAAAAGCCUAUCGUAGUCCAGAUUGGAGUCUGCAACUCGACUCCAUGAAGUAGGAAUCGCUAGUAAUCGCGGAUCAGAAUGCCGCGGUGAAUACGUUCCCGGGCCUUGUACACACCGCCCGUCACACCAUGGGAGUUGAUUGCACCAGAAGUGGAUAGCUUAACCUU
rnacentral:rRNA from 1 species